CGUGACAUACGAGCAAGCAGUCUGUCGUGUGGAAUAAGCAGCUCAGUGUGUAUACUGGAAAGGCGGAUGAGUAGAGAAUACUCGUUGUUUGCGCAAAGUGUAGUUGUGGUGAUUAUUUAACGCUGGAAGUGUGGAGGACUUUUAUUUCUCUUCGUUCCGUUUCAAUUUUUUUAACAAGAAUUACAUCUUUGAAGAGUUCAUCCAUGAUCAUCCUGAGCUAUCUUACCUUGAACACUCAGCCAGCCAAAAGAAAGAAAGCUUUCGAAUGAAUUGAGCUUUCGUUCUGAGCUCUCUUCCUUAAGCUCAUGCAGUUUGCACCAGAAACUACCACAAUCAGCUGAUUUGCUCUGGUCAGAACUGAACCCACUCAUCCGUGGCAUGCAAGUGAUACGACAACAAAUGAAGAUGCUGUCGUCGGUUGCGAUGAGUCGGCAAUAAUUCUCCAACAACCCACGAACAAAGACGCACCGACACGGAAAGCACCAAUCCAAUGUCAAAUGGACCACAUUGACCUUAAAUUCCGUAAUAGGUUUCGAUCGGGUCAAGCAAUAUUGAAGAGUGAGGAGGUAUCUGGUGUUUAUUUCCUGGCUUUCUGAUGGUCAGCCUGGAUCAGGUUUUAUCUUGCGUAUACAUUAUUCAUGGAUUGUUGGGAAAGUGCUCGGAUUAGUAUGUCAGAAAUGAUUUAUAAUAAGCGAAUGGUUAACCUAAAGGAUCAGUAUUUUUCUGUAUGAGUUUUAUCAGUUUUCAUUCAAUAAAUUGAUCCCCUUCAG